GAGGUUCGAAGGCGAUCAGAUACCGCCCUAGUUCUAACCAUAAACGAUGCCAGCCAGCGAUCCGGCUGCGUUCCUCAAAUGACGCGCCGGGCAGCUUCCGGGAAACCAAAGCUUUUGGGCUCCGGGGGAAGUAUGGUUGCAAAGCUGAAACUUAAAGGAAUUGACGGAGGGCUACCACCAGUGGUGGAUCUUGCGGUUCAAUUUGACUCAACGCAGCGCACCUUACCAGGUCAGGACACAGGAAGGAUUGACAGAUUAAGAGCUCUUUCUUGAUUUUGUGGGUAGUGGUGCAUGGCCGCUCUUGGUUCGUGCAGUGAUUUGUCUGGUUAAUUCUGAUAACGGACGAGGCUCUAGCCUGCUAAAUAGACGCUCGGAUCAUUCCUCGUCCGGCGUUUCUUCUUAGAGGGACUGGCGGCGUUUAGCCGUACGAGGUUGAGCAAUAGCAGGUCUGUAAUGCCCUUAGAUGUCCUGGGCCACACGCGUGAUACAUUGAAAGAACCAGCGUGUGUUUACUUGUCCGUCGGGACUGGGUAACCCGUUGAACUUCUUUCGUGCUGGGGAUUGGGGUUUUUGCAAUUGUCCCCCAUGAACGAGGAACCUCUAGUAAGCGCGAGUCAUCAUCUCGCGUUGAUUAGGUCCCUGGCCCUUGUCCACACCGCCCGUCACUAUUACCGAUUGAAUGUCUUAGUGAGGACUUCGGAUUGGCUGUCAUCUUGGCUCCAGGGUCGAGGCGACGCGUCGAAAAGAUGUCCGAACUUGGGCAUUUAGAGGAAAUA
rnacentral:rRNA from 1 species